GUAAUGAAUACCAACUGAUAUAUGAGUGAUUAUGAUGUGGAAAGUCGUAUUGAUGGUACGAUUCAAAUCUCUACAUUAGAACCGGCAAGAGCAGUGCAUGCUCUCUGAGCAGCAAAAUACAGAAAAUCUUUCAAUAUAGGCCAACGCUUAUGCCAGCAGAAUAGAAGUCCUGCAAUCAAUACCACAUCUCUGGGAAAAAGGCAAAAAGAUUGUCGUUGGAGAAGCAGCAGCUAAAAAUCUAGCACGCAGUUGGUUGGACUCCGCCCAACUACCUUCAAUCAAGAAACGAGGUCGACCAAAAGGUGCUGGACUAACAGUGAUUGGCCUUCCUAGGAAAAGCUUCUUCCAAAUCGAAGGCAUUUGCACUAAAAUCAGAAUGGGAGAAGACAAAAGUUAUGCUCAACUGGUUUGUCGAUGAAGAAGUCACUAAAUGAGCAGCGAGAGGUGGGGACCCUAUUGAAGAACAAAAAGUGGAAUGUUGCCCGGAGAAAAUACCCAGAAAGUGCUUGGAUGACAGUGUUUGUAUUAUAUACUCAAAUCAAAAAUACUUCACUUGUGACAGCUGGAGUUUAAAAUAGCAUAGAUAUAAUUAUC